AGCAGCCGCGGUAAUUCCAGCUCCAAUAGCGUAUAUUAAAGUUGUUGCAGUUAAAAAGCUCGUAGUUGAAUUUCGGGGUUAGUAGGUCGGUCAUGCCUCUGGUAUGCACUGGUCUCACUGAUUCCUCCUUCCUGAUGAGCCGUAAUGCCAUUAAUUUGGUGUUGCGGGGAAUCUGGACUGUUACUUUGAAAAAAUUAGAGUGUUUAAAGCAGGCUAACGCUUGAAUACAUUAGCAUGGAAUAAUGGAAUAGGACGUUCGAUCCUAUUUUGUUGGUUUCUAGGAUUGACGUAAUGAUUAAUAGGGAUAGUUGGGGGCAUUAGUAUUCAAUUGUCAGAGGUGAAAUUCUUGGAUUUAUUGAAGACUAACUACUGCGAAAGCAUUUGUCAAGGAUGUU
rnacentral:rRNA from 1 species